rnacentral:rRNA from 1 species
AUUGAACGCUGGCGGCAGGCUUAACACAUGCAAGUCGCACGAGUGGCGGAAGGGAGAGUAAUGCAUGGGCAUAUAGCUUUUGGAGGGGGAUACCUCCGGGAAACUGAAGCUAAUACCGAGAACCAUAGGAUGAGCACAAGGGGGAUUAGGUAGUUGGUGAGGUCAAGGCUCACCAAGCCGACGAUCUCUAGCUGGUCUGAGAGGCUGACCAGCCACACUGGUACUGAGACACGGCCCAGACUCCUUCGGGAGGAAGCAGUGGGGAAUAUUGCGCAAUGGGGGCAACCUGACGCAGCCAUGCCGCGUGAAUGAAGAAGGCCUUCGGGUUGUAAAGUUCUUUCGGUAGCGAGGCGUUAACUACAGAAUAAGCACAGGCUAACUCCGUGCCAGCAGCCGCGGUAAUAC